rnacentral:rRNA from 1 species
GAUGAACGCUGGCGGCGUGCUUAACACAUGCAAGUCGAACGAUGAAGCCCAGCUUGCUGGGUGGAUUAGUGGCGAACGGGUGAGUAACACGUGAGUAACCUGCCCUUAACUCUGGGAUAAGCCUGAGAAACUGGGUCUAAUACCGGAUAGGAGCGUCCACCGCAUGGUGGGUGUUGGAAAGAUUUAUCGGUUUUGGAUGGACUCGCGGCCUAUCAGCUUGUUGGUGAGGUAAUGGCUCACCAAGGCGACGACGGGUAGCCGGCCUGAGAGGGUGACCGGCCACACUGGGACUGAGACACGGCCCAGACUCCUACGGGAGGCAGCAGUGGGGAAUAUUGCACAAUGGGCGCAAGCCUGAUGCAGCGACGCCGCGUGAGGGAUGACGGCCUUCGGGUUGUAAACCUCUUUCAGUAGGGAAGAAGCGAAAGUGACGGUACCUGCAGAAGAAGCACCGGCUAACUACGUG